UAUUGGACAAUGGGGGCAACCCUGAUCCAGCCAUGCCGCGUGUGUGAAGAAGGCCUUCGGGUUGUAAAGCACUUUCAGCGGGGAGGAAGGCUUAAGGCGAAUACCCUUGAGUACUUGACGUUACCCGCAGAAGAAGCACCGGCUAAUUUCGUGCCAGCAGCCGCGGUAAUACGAAAGGUGCGAGCGUUGAUCGGAAUUACUGGGCGUAAAGCGUGCGUAGGCGGUUAUUUAAGUCGGAUGUGAAAGCCCCGGGCUCAACCUGGGAGGUGCAUCCGAUACUGGGUAGCUAGAGUGUAGUAGAGGGAGGUGGAAUUUCCGGUGUAGCGGUGAAAUGCGUAGAGAUCGGAAGGAACACCAGUGGCGAAGGCGGCCUCCUGGACUAACACUGACGCUGAGGUACGAAAGCGUGGGGAUCAAACAGG
rnacentral:rRNA from 1 species